CUGCUCACCAGGGCUUGGUCCUCUCCAUGUGGUCUUGACCUGCCCUUCAUGAGCGAGAGAAUUUGGACUGGUUUGGGGGCGUCCUGUCCAAGUGGACAACAGGAUACCACAGUUUUCAGUACAACA
ensembl:scaRNA